rnacentral:lncRNA from 1 species
GCAUUGUAUGGCCAGUAGGCCAUACAGCAGAUUCAGGAUACAGAGGGAGCCACAACAAUGUGUAUAUCUGUGCACCUGUUGCGUGGAUGGUCCCCAAAGGGAACCGGAAGACUGUGGCAAAUCCUUUGGAGCUGGAAAUAGAGGAAGGUUGAACACUGGGAAAGAAAAAUAUUGAUUGUAUAAUUAACUGUGACCUGCAAGAGGAGCAACUGCCAAAAUUGGUUUUCUUCGAUUGUUUUUGUUGUUGUUGUUGUUGUUGUUGUUGUUUUUUGUUUUGGCCUGUAAGAGGUUGAAUGAAAAGCAAGCAGUAUAAGGAGAUAUUUAAAGGGCAAUAGUCACUAAAAUUUAAAUUAUCAACAUGAUUAU